UGGUGUGAACAGGUUACCUGUGGUGCAGUGUGGUAGUGGAAAACGCUGCAUCACGUGUGACCUGCCCACACCGU
ncrna:Ornithorhynchus anatinus (platypus) microRNA oan-mir-1421k precursor (oan-mir-1421k-2)